rnacentral:rRNA from 1 species
GACGAACGCUGGCGGCGUGCUUAACACAUGCAAGUCGAACGGUGAAGCGCCUUCCUUUUUGGUGGGUGUGGAUGAGUGGCGAACGGGUGAGUAACACGUGAGUAACCUGCCCCCUUCUUCUGGAUAACCGCAUGAAAGUGUGGCUAAUACGGGAUAUUCUGGGUCUGUCGCAUGAUGGGUCUGGGAAAGAUAUUGUUUCGGUGGGGGAUGGGCUCGCGGCCUAUCAGCUUGUUGGUGGGGUGAUGGCCUACCAAGGCGGUGACGGGUAGCCGGCCUGAGAGGGUGGACGGUCACACUGGGACUGAGACACGGCCCAGACUCCUACGGGAGGCAGCAGUGGGGAAUAUUGCACAAUGGGCGCAAGCCUGAUGCAGCGACGCCGCGUGAGGGAUGGAGGCCUGCGGGUUGUGAACCUCUUUCGCUAGUGAAGCAGGCCUGCCUCGUUUGUGGGUGGGUUGACGGUAGCUGGAUAAGAAGCGCCGGCUAACUACGUG